rnacentral:rRNA from 1 species
UGCCGCGUGUGUGAAGAAGGCCUUUUGGUUGUAAAGCACUUUAAGCGAGGAGGAGGCUACCGAGACUAAUACUCUUGGAUAGUGGACGUUACUCGCAGAAUAAGCACCGGCUAACUCUGUGCCAGCAGCCGCGGUAAUACAGAGGGUGCGAGCGUUAAUCGGAUUUACUGGGCGUAAAGCGUGCGUAGGCGGCUGAUUAAGUCGGAUGUGAAAUCCCUGAGCUUAACUUAGGAAUUGCAUUCGAUACUGGUCAGCUAGAGUAUGGGAGAGGAUGGUAGAAUUCCAGGUGUAGCGGUGAAAUGCGUAGAGAUCUGGAGGAAUACCGAUGGCGAAGGCAGCCAUCUGGCCUAAUACUGACGCUGAGGUACGAAAGCAUGGGGAGCAAACAGGAUUAGAUACCCUGGUAGUCCAUGCCGUAAACGAUGUCUACUAGCCGUUGGGGCCUUUGAGGCUUUAGUGGCGCAGCUAACGCGAUAAGUAGACCGCCUGGGGAGUACGGUCGCAAGACUAAAACUCAAAUGAAUUGACGGGGGCCCGCACAAGCGGUGGAGCAUGUGGUUUAAUUCGAUGCAACGCGAAGAACCUUACCUGGUCUUGACAUAGUAAGAACUUUCCAGAGAUG